UCACUUCAGCAAUGUAUUACUAAGAUUAGAACAACACGGAGAAGACUAGCAUGGCCCCUAUGCAAGGAUGACUCGCAGAUUCGUGAUAUGUUCCAUGUUUUU
rnacentral:snRNA from 1 species